rnacentral:lncRNA from 1 species
UAUUUAUAUAAUAGUUCUUGAAUAACUGGUCAUUAUCGUUAUAUAUGGACUGCCCACAGGACAGUGGUAUUGACUAAGAUAGUGACUGAGCCGAAGGCGAGGUCAUUAUCGCCGUCACAGUCAAUACCUGUAUCCUACGGGCAGUCCAUAUAUAACGAUAAUGACCAGUUAUUCAAAAACUAUUAUGUUUAUUUCAUUGAGGAACCAUGUUUCAGAAAAUUCUCAUAGAUUCAAAAUGUCCAAAGCAAACUCGAGUAGUU